AUGCUCAUUUCAGCAGCACACAUACUAAAUUCAAGCAAUACAGAGAAGAUUAGCAUGGCCUCCUGCUGCUGCAAGGAUGACAUGCAAAUUUGUGAAGCAUGCUGAAUAGUU
ensembl:snRNA Gm22378 U6 spliceosomal RNA